rnacentral:rRNA from 1 species
CCGCAGCCCGAGUGGUGAUCGAUUUUAUUGAGCCUAAAGCGUCCGUAGCCGGACUAGUAAACCCUUGGGUAAAUUGGGCAGCUUAACUGUCCAAAUUCCGAGGGGACUGCUAGUCUUGGGACCGGGAGAGGUCAGAGGUACUCAAGGGGUAGGGGCUAAAUCCUGUAAUCCUUUGGGGACCACCAGUGGCGAAGGCGUCUGACUAGAACGGAUCCGACGGUAAGGGACGAAACCCUGGGGCGCGAACCGGAUUAGAUACCCGAGUAGUCC